AGUGAACGCUGGCGGUAGGCCUAACACAUGCAAGUCGAACGGCAGCACAGUAAGAGCUUGCUCUUACGGGUGGCGAGUGGCGGACGGGUGAGGAAUACAUCGGAAUCUACUUUUUCGUGGGGGAUAACGUAGGGAAACUUACGCUAAUACCGCAUACGACCUACGGGUGAAAGCAGGGGAUCUUCGGACCUUGCGCGAUUGAAUGAGCCGAUGUCGGAUUAGCUAGUUGGCGGGGUAAAGGCCCACCAAGGCGACGAUCCGUAGCUGGUCUGAGAGGAUGAACAGCCACACUGGAACUGAGACACGGUCCAGACUCCUACGGGAGGCAGAAGUGGGGAAUAUUGGACAAUGGGCGCAAGCCUGAUCCAGCCAUACCGCGUGGGUGAAGAAGGCCUUCGGGUUGUAAAGCCCUUUUGUUGGGAAAGAAAAGCAGCAGGUUAAUACCCCGCUGUUCUGACGGUACCCAAAGAAUAAGCACCGGCUAACUUCGUG
rnacentral:rRNA from 1 species